UGACCUACGGGAGGCAGCAGUGAGGAAUAUUGGUCAAUGGGCGCGAGCCUGAACCAGCCAAGUAGCGUGAAGGAUGACUGCCCUACGGGUUGUAAACUUCUUUUAUAAAGGAAUAAAGUGAGGCACGUGUGCCUUUUUGUAUGUAUUUUAUGAAUAAGGAUCGGCUAACUCCGUGCCAGCAGCCGCGGUAAUACGGAGGAUGCGAGCGUUAUCCGGAUUUAUUGGGUUUAAAGGGUGCGUAGGCGGCAUUAUAAGUUAGUGGUAAAAUAUUGGGGCUUCACCUCACUACGCCAUUAAUACUGUAG
rnacentral:rRNA from 1 species